AGUGAACGCUGGCGGUAGGCCUAACACAUGCAAGUCGAACGGCAGCACAGAGGAGCUUGCUCCUUGGGUGGCGAGUGGCGGACGGGUGAGGAAUACAUCGGAAUCUACUCUGUCGGGGGGGAUAACAUAGGGAAACUUACGCUAAUACCGCAUACGACCUACGGGUGAAAGCAGGGGAGCUUCGACCCUUGCGGGAUUGAAUGAGCCGGUGUCGGAUUAGCUAGUUGGCGGGGUAAAGGCCCACCAAGGCGACGAUCCGUAGCCGGUCUGAGAGGAUGAUCAGCCACACUGGAACUGAGACACGGUCCAGACUCCUACGGGAGGCAGCAGUGGGGAAUAUUGGACAAUGGGCGCAAGCCUGAUCCAGCCAUACCGCGUGGGUGAAGAAGGCCUUCGGGUUGUAAAGCCCUUUUGUUGGGAAAGAAAUCCAGCUGGCUAAUACCCGGUUGGGAUGACGGUACCCAAAGAAUAAGCACCGGCUAACUUCGUGCCAGCCGCCGCCGUAA
rnacentral:rRNA from 1 species